rnacentral:rRNA from 1 species
AGCGAACGCUGGCGGCAGGCUUAACACAUGCAAGUCGAGCGCCGUAGCAAUACGGAGCGGCAGACGGGUGAGUAACGCGUGGGAACGUACCUUCUGGUUCGGAAUAACUCAGGGAAACUUGAGCUAAUACCGGAUAAGCCCUUCGGGGGAAAGAUUUAUCGCCGGAAGAUCGGCCCGCGUAAGAUUAGCUAGUUGGUGAGGUAAUGGCUCACCAAGGCUACGAUCUUUAGCUGGUCUGAGAGGAUGAUCAGCCACAUUGGGACUGAGACACGGCCCAAACUCCUACGGGAGGCAGCAGUGGGGAAUAUUGGACAAUGGGCGCAAGCCUGAUCCAGCCAUGCCGCGUGAGUGAUGAAGGCCUUAGGGUUGUAAAGCUCUUUUAGCAGGGACGAUAAUGACGGUACCUGCAGAAAAAGCCCCGGCCAACUUCGUG